AAGGUCCGAUGAGUAGUCGCUGCUUUACUGUAAUGGUAGAGGAGAGGAAAGUCCGGGCUUCACAGGGCAAGGAUGCCAGCUAACGGCUGGUGGAGGUGACUCCAAGGAUAGUGCAACAGAGAGAUACCGCCAGUUUCACGAUUUCCUGCGUCAAGCUUGAAAUCGUGAAACUGGUAAGGGUGGAAAGGCGGUGUAAGAGACCACCGUAUCGCUGGUAACAGCGAUAGCCAUGUAAACCCCAUCCGAAGCAAGUUCUAAAAAGCGCGUACGCGGCCCGCCAGCGCUAGGUUGAACGCUUGAGACCACUGGCGACAGUGGCCCUAGAUAGAUGACUACUUUAAAAGACAUAACCCGGCUCACAGUCGGGCCUUUUUU
rnacentral:RNase_P_RNA from 1 species